AACAAGUACUAGAGGAGACAAGUCGUAACAAGGUAAGCAUACUGGAAAGUGUGCUUGGAUAA
rnacentral:rRNA from 1 species